rnacentral:rRNA from 1 species
GAUGAGUAGGGCGGGACACGUGGUAUCCUGUCUGAAUAUGGGGGGCCCAUCCUCCAAGGCUAAAUACUCCUGACUGACCGAUAGUGAACCAGUACCGUGAGGGAAAGGCGAAAAGAACCCCGGCGAGGGGAGUGAAAAAGAACCUGAAACCGUGUACGUACAAGCAGUGGGAGCACGCUUAGGCGUGUGACUGCGUACCUUUUGUAUAAUGGGUCAGCGACUUAUAUUCUGUAGCAAGGUUAACCGAAUAGGGGAGCCGAAGGGAAACCGAGUCUUAACUGGGCGUUAAGUUGCAGGGUAUAGACCCGAAACCCGGUGAUCUAGCCAUGGGCAGGUUGAAGGUUGGGUAACACUAACUGGAGGACCGAACCGACUAAUGUUGAAAAAUUAGCGGAUGACUUGUGGCUGGGGGUGAAAGGCCAAUCAAACCGGGAGAUAGCUGGUUCUCCCCGAAAGCUAUUUAGGUAGCGCCUCGUGAAUUCAUCUCCGGGGGUAGAGCACUGUUUCGGCAAGGGGGUCAUCCCGACUUACCAACCCGAUGCAAACUGCGAAUACCGGAGAAUGUUAUCACGGGAGACACACGGCGGGUGCUAACGUCCGUCGUGAAGAGGGAAACAACCCAGACCGCCAGCUAAGGUCCCAAAGUCAUGGUUAAGUGGGAAACGAUGUGGGAAGGCCCAGACAGCCAGGAUGUUGGCUUAGAAGCAGCCAUCAUUUAAAGAAAGCGUAAUAGCUCACUGGUCGAGUCGGCCUGCGCGGAAGAUGUAACGGGGCUAAACCAUGCACCGAAGCUGCGGCAGCGACGCUUAUGCGUUGUUGGGUAGGGGAGCGUUCUGUAAGCCUGCGAAGGUGUGCUGUGAGGCAUGCUGGAGGUAUCAGAAGUGCGAAUGCUGACAUAAGUAACGAUAAAGCGGGUGAAAAGCCCGCUCGCCGGAAGACCAAGGGUUCCUGUCCAACGUUAAUCGGGGCAGGGUGAGUCGACCCCUAAGGCGAGGCCGAAAGGCGUAGUCGAUGGGAAACAGGUUAAUAUUCCUGUACUUGGUGUUACUGCGAAGGGGGGACGGAGAAGGCUAUGUUGGCCGGGCGACGGUUGUCCCGGUUUAAGCGUGUAGGCUGGUUUUCCAGGCAAAUCCGGAAAAUCAAGGCUGAGGCGUGAUGACGAGGCACUACGGUGCUGAAGCAACAAAUGCCCUGCUUCCAGGAAAAGCCUCUAAGCAUCAGGUAACAUCAAAUCGUACCCCAAACCGACACAGGUGGUCAGGUAGAGAAUACCAAGGCGCUUGAGAGAACUCGGGUGAAGGAACUAGGCAAAAUGGUGCCGUAACUUCGGGAGAAGGCACGCUGAUAUGUAGGUGAAGUCCCUUGCGGAUGGAGCUGAAAUCAGUCGAAGAUACCAGCUGGCUGCAACUGUUUAUUAAAAACACAGCACUGUGCAAACACGAAAGUGGACGUAUACGGUGUGACGCCUGCCCGGUGCCGGAAGGUUAAUUGAUGGGGUCAGCGCAAGCGAAGCUCUUGAUCGAAGCCCCGGUAAACGGCGGCCGUAACUAUAACGGUCCUAAGGUAGCGAAAUUCCUUGUCGGGUAAGUUCCGACCUGCACGAAUGGCGUAAUGAUGGCCAGGCUGUCUCCACCCGAGACUCAGUGAAAUUGAACUCGCUGUGAAGAUGCAGUGUACCCGCGGCAAGACGGAAAGACCCCGUGAACCUUUACUAUAGCUUGACACUGAACAUUGAGCCUUGAUGUGUAGGAUAGGUGGGAGGCUUUGAAGUGUGGACGCCAGUCUGCAUGGAGCCGGCCUUGAAAUACCACCCUUUAAUGUUUGAUGUUCUAACGUGGACCCGUGAUCCGGGUUGCGGACAGUGUCUGGUGGGUAGUUUGACUGGGGCGGUCUCCUCCUAAAGAGUAACGGAGGAGCACGAAGGUUGGCUAAUCCUGGUCGGACAUCAGGAGGUUAGUGCAAUGGCAUAAGCCAGCUUGACUGCGAGCGUGACGGCGCGAGCAGGUGCGAAAGCAGGUCAUAGUGAUCCGGUGGUUCUGAAUGGAAGGGCCAUCGCUCAACGGAUAAAAGGUACUCCGGGGAUAACAGGCUGAUACCGCCCAAGAGUUCAUAUCGACGGCGGUGUUUGGCACCUCGAUGUCGGCUCAUCACAUCCUGGGGCUGAAGUAGGUCCCAAGGGUAUGGCUGUUCGCCAUUUAAAGUGGUACGCGAGCUGGGUUUAGAACGUCGUGAGACAGUUCGGUCCCUAUCUGCCGUGGGCGCUGGAGAACUGAGGGGGGCUGCUCCUAGUACGAGAGGACCGGAGUGGACGCAUCACUGGUGUUCGGGUUGUCAUGCCAAUGGCACUGCCCGGUAGCUAAAUGCGGAAGAGAUAAGUGCUGAAAGCAUCUAAGCACGAAACUUGCCCCGAGAUGAGUUCUCCCUGACCCUUUAAGGGUCCUGAAGGAACGUUGAAGACGACGACGUUGAUAGGCCGGGUGUGUAAGCGCAGCGAUGCGUUGAGCUAACCGGUACUAAUGAACCGUGAGGCUUAACCUU